rnacentral:rRNA from 1 species
CACUAUCGUUAACUGAAUACAUAGGUUAACGAGGCGAACCGGGGGAACUGAAACAUCUAAGUACCCCGAGGAAAAGAAAUCAACCGAGAUUCCCCCAGUAGCGGCGAGCGAACGGGGAGCAGCCCAGAGUCUGAAUCAGCUUGUGUGUUAGUGGAACGGUCUGGAAAGUCCGACGGUACAGGGUGAUAGUCCCGUACACCAAAAUGCACAGGCUGUGAACUCGAAGAGUAGGGCGGGACACGUGGUAUCCUGUCUGAAUAUGGGGGGACCAUCCUCCAAGGCUAAAUACUCCUGACUGACCGAUAGUGAACCAGUACCGUGAGGGAAAGGCGAAAAGAACCCCGGCGAGGGGAGUGAAAAAGAACCUGAAACCGUGUACGUACAAGCAGUGGGAGCACCUUCGGGUGUGACUGCGUACCUUUUGUAUAAUGGGUCAGCGACUUAUAUUCUGUAGCAAGGUUAACCGUAUAGGGGAGCCGCAGGGAAACCGAGUCUUAACUGGGCGUUAAGUUGCAGGGUAUAGACCCGAAACCCGGUGAUCUAGCCAUGGGCAGGUUGAAGGUUGGGUAACACUAACUGGAGGACCGAACCGACUAAUGUUGAAAAAUUAGCGGAUGACUUGUGGCUGGGGGUGAAAGGCCAAUCAAACCGGGAGAUAGCUGGUUCUCCCCGAAAGCUAUUUAGGUAGCGCCUCGUGAAUUCAUCUUCGGGGGUAGAGCACUGUUUCGGCUAGGGGGUCAUCCCGACUUACCAACCCGAUGCAAACUACGAAUACCGAAGAAUGUUAUCACGGGAGACACACGGCGGGUGCUAACGUCCGUCGUGAAGAGGGAAACAACCCAGACCGCCAGCUAAGGUCCCAAAGUCAUGGUUAAGUGGGAAACGAUGUGGGAAGGCACAGACAGCCAGGAUGUUGGCUUAGAAGCAGCCAUCAUUUAAAGAAAGCGUAAUAGCUCACUGGUCGAGUCGGCCUGCGCGGAAGAUGUAACGGGGCUAAACCAUGCACCGAAGCUGCGGCAGCGACACUAUGUGUUGUUGGGUAGGGGAGCGUUCUGUAAGCCUGCGAAGGUGGCCUGUGAGGGUUGCUGGAGGUAUCAGAAGUGCGAAUGCUGACAUAAGUAACGAUAAAGCGGGUGAAAAGCCCGCUCGCCGGAAGACCAAGGGUUCCUGUCCAACGUUAAUCGGGGCAGGGUGAGUCGACCCCUAAGGCGAGGCCGAAAGGCGUAGUCGAUGGGAAACAGGUUAAUAUUCCUGUACUUGGUGUUACUGCGAAGGGGGGACGGAGAAGGCUAUGUUAGCCGGGCGACGGUUGUCCCGGUUUAAGCAUGUAGGCUGGUUGUCCAGGCAAAUCCGGAUAAUCAAGGCUGAGGUGUGAUGACGAGGCACUACGGUGCUGAAGUAACAAAUGCCCUGCUUCCAGGAAAAGCCUCUAAGCAUCAGGUAACAUCAAAUCGUACCCCAAACCGACACAGGUGGUCAGGUAGAGAAUACCAAGGCGCUUGAGAGAACUCGGGUGAAGGAACUAGGCAAAAUGGUGCCGUAACUUCGGGAGAAGGCACGCUGGUGUGUAGGUGAAGUCCCUGCGGAUGGAGCUGAGACCAGUCGAAGAUACCAGCUGGCUGCAACUGUUUAUUAAAAACACAGCACUGUGCAAACACGAAAGUGGACGUAUACGGUGUGACGCCUGCCCGGUGCCGGAAGGUUAAUUGAUGGGGUUAUCCGUAAGGAGAAGCUCUUGAUCGAAGCCCCGGUAAACGGCGGCCGUAACUAUAACGGUCCUAAGGUAGCGAAAUUCCUUGUCGGGUAAGUUCCGACCUGCACGAAUGGCGUAAUGAUGGCCAGGCUGUCUCCACCCGAGACUCAGUGAAAUUGAACUCGCUGUGAAGAUGCAGUGUACCCGCGGCAAGACGGAAAGACCCCGUGAACCUUUACUAUAGCUUGACACUGAACAUUGAGCCUUGAUGUGUAGGAUAGGUGGGAGGCUUUGAAGCGUGGACGCCAGUCUGCGUGGAGCCAACCUUGAAAUACCACCCUUUAAUGUUUGAUGUUCUAACGUUGGCCCCUGACCGGGGUUGCGGACAGUGUCUGGUGGGUAGUUUGACUGGGGCGGUCUCCUCCCAAAGCGUAACGGAGGAGCACGAAGGUUAGCUAAUCCUGGUCGGACAUCAGGAGGUUAGUGCAAUGGCAUAAGCUAGCUUGACUGCGAGCGUGACGGCGCGAGCAGGUGCGAAAGCAGGUCAUAGUGAUCCGGUGGUUCUGAAUGGAAGGGCCAUCGCUCAACGGAUAAAAGGUACUCCGGGGAUAACAGGCUGAUACCGCCCAAGAGUUCAUAUCGACGGCGGUGUUUGGCACCUCGAUGUCGGCUCAUCACAUCCUGGGGCUGAAGUAGGUCCCAAGGGUAUGGCUGUUCGCCAUUUAAAGUGGUACGCGAGCUGGGUUUAGAACGUCGUGAGACAGUUCGGUCCCUAUCUGCCGUGGGCGCUGGAGAAUUGAGGGGGGCUGCUCCUAGUACGAGAGGACCGGAGUGGACGCAUCACUGGUGUUCGGGUUGUCAUGCCAAUGGCACUGCCCGGUAGCUAAAUGCGGAAGAGAUAAGUGCUGAAAGCAUCUAAGCACGAAACUUGCCCCGAGAUGAGUUCUCCCUGAGACUUUAAGUCUCCUGAAGGAACGUUGAAGACGACGACGUUGAUAGGCCGGGUGUGUAAGCGCAGCGAUGCGUUGAGCUAACCGGUACUAAUGAACCGUGAGGCUUAACCUU